rnacentral:rRNA from 1 species
CCUACGGGUGGCAGCAGUGAGGAAUAUUGGUCAAUGGGCGCGAGCCUGAACCAGCCAAGUAGCGUGAAGGAUGACUGCCCUACGGGUUGUAAACUUCUUUUAUAAAGGAAUAAAGUGAGGCACGUGUGCCUUUUUGUAUGUACUUUAUGAAUAAGGAUCGGCUAACUCCGUGCCGGCAGCCGCGGUAAUACGGAGGAUCCGAGCGUUAUCCGGAUUUAUUGGGUUUAAGGGGAGCGUAGAUGGGUUGGUAAGUCAGUUGUGAAAGUUUGCGGCUCAACCGUAAAAUUGCAAUUGAUACUGGCAGUCUUGAGUACAGUUGAGGUAGGCGGAAUUCGUGGUGUAGCAGUGAAAUGCUUAGAUUUCACGAAGAACCCCGAUUGCGAAGGCAGCUUACUAAACUGUGACUGACAUUGAUGCUCGAAAGUGUGGGUAUCAAACAGGAUUAGAUACCCCGGUAGUC